CCUACGGGAGGCAGCAGUGGGGAAUAUUGCACAAUGGGGGAAACCCUGAUGCAGCGACGCCGCGUGAGUGAAGAAGUAAUUCGUUAUGUAAAGCUCUAUCAGCAGGGAAGAAAAUGACGGUACCUGAGUAAGAAGCCCCGGCUAACUCCGUGCCAGCAGCCGCGGUAAUACGUAGGGGGCAAGCGUUAUCCGGAUUUACUGGGUGUAAAGGGAGCGUAGACGGCAGUGCAAGUCUGGAGUGAAAGGGGGGGGCUCAACCCCCGGACUGCUCUGGAAACUGUACGGCUGGAGUGCAGGAGAGGUAAGUGGAAUUCCUAGUGUAGCGGUGAAAUGCGUAGAUAUUAGGAGGAACACCAGUGGCGAAGGCGGCUUACUGGACUGUAACUGACGUUGAGGCUCGAAAGCGUGGGGAGCAAACAGGAUUAGAUACCCUAGUAGUC
rnacentral:rRNA from 1 species